rnacentral:rRNA from 1 species
AUGGACACGCCCGUGCCGAAACGGCCUCGCCUCGUGCCAGCACCGGCACCGGCGCCUCGGACAAUCGCCGACAUGGCCCCGGAGAUCCUCCUCCGCCUCCCUCCAGACGACCCCGCGCGCCUUAUGCGCGCCUCCCUCGUCUGCUGGCGCUGGCGCCGCCUCCUCACCGACCCGGCGUACCUCCGCCGCUACCGCGCAUUCCAUCGAACACCUCCCAUGCUCGGCUUCGUCCUCAACCUGAAGCAGCACUACCAAGGCAUGGCCCAGCUCGUCCCCACCUCCUCUUUCUGCCCCGCCGCCUCUGACCGCCCCGGCCUGAAUGUGCUGGACGCCCGCCACGGCCGCGUGCUCCUCCACACCGCUCAGGGCCAGCGCCUCGUCGUCUGGGACCCCGUCACGGGUGAAGAGUGCAAGAUCCCUCGCGUGCCGGCCUACGCGCUCGGCUUCAACGCGGCCGUGCUCUGCGCCGCGGUCGGCUGCGACCACCUCGACUGUCAUGGCGGACCCUUCCGUGUCGCCUUCGUGGGAUGCGGCGAACGCGGCAUCACGUUCGCCUGCACCUACUCGUCGGAGGCCGGUGCCUGGAGCCAGCGAAUUGAGGUCGAGCAGCCGGCGUUUGUUGACAGGCGACCGAGCGUCCUUGUGGGGAACAUGCUCUACUUCACCUGCGAUCCAUACCUCAAUUUCAAAAUGUUGGGGUACGACAUCGUCAGGCAGGAGCUGUCGGUGAUCUGGCCGCCGUCCCAGCACGAGUACUACUCUUGCACUGUCCUCGUGAAAGCGGAGGAUGGCAAGCUGGGGUUCGCCGGCGUGCGGAAUGGCACGCUCUACCUCUGGUCGAUGAAGGACGGCACCGACGGGAAUGUGGAAUGGGUGCAGCGCAGAGUUAUCCAGCACAAGACGAUGCUCCGCACUCGUGGCCUCUCGACACCACCUGAGGUCGUUGGCUUCGCGGACGGCCACGGACUCAUUUUCAUUAGGACAGGCAACACGGUGUUCUCCAUGGAUCUCAAGUCAGGCCAUGUCCGUAAGGUAUACACCUGCAGGUCAAGAAACUACGACGUCACCGUUGUUCCCUACAUGAGCUUCUGCACUCCAGAUCGUGCUAUGGGCAGACUGCCAUCGCCAUGA